UACAGAGGGUGCGAGCGUUGUUCGGAAUUAUUGGGCGUAAAGGGCGCGUAGGCGGUGCUGUAAGUCUGUGGUGAAAUCUCUGGGCUCAACUCAGAGUCUGCCAUAGAAACUGUCUGGCUUGAGUAUGGGAGAGGUGAGUGGAAUUCCUGGUGUAGCGGUGAAAUGCGUAGAUAUCAGGAGGAACACCUGUGGCGAAAGCGGCUCACUGGACCACAACUGACGCUGAGGCACGAAAGCUAGGGGAGCAAACAGG
rnacentral:rRNA from 1 species